rnacentral:rRNA from 1 species
GACGAACGCUGGCGGCGUGCUUAACACAUGCAAGUCGAACGAAGAGCGAUGGAAGCUUGCUUCUAUCAAUCUUAGUGGCGAACGGGUGAGUAACGCGUAAUCAACCUGCCCUUCAGAGGGGGACAACAGUUGGAAACGACUGCUAAUACCGCAUACGAUCUAACCUCGGCAUCGAGGAUAGAUGAAAGGUGGCCUCUACAUGUAAGCUAUCACUGAAGGAGGGGAUUGCGUCUGAUUAGCUAGUUGGAGGGGUAACGGCCCACCAAGGCGAUGAUCAGUAGCCGGUCUGGGAGGUUGGACGGCCACAUUGGGACUGAGACACGGCCCAGACUCCUACGGGAGGCAGCAGUGGGGAAUCUUCCGCAAUGGACGAAAGUCUGACGGAGCAACGCCGCGUGAGUGAUGACGGCCUUCGGGUUGUAAAGCUCUGUUAAUCGGGACGAAAGGCCUUCUUGCGAAUAGUGAGAAGGAUUGACGGUACCGGAAUAGAAAGCCACGGCUAACUACGUG